CAGAGAAGCCGGUGUUUGGAGGAUAUUGGCACGGGUGUUAUUUUCGCCGAGGGCCAACAAACUGUGCCAAUAUAUCCUCCGAACACCAGCUUCGAGGGCAUUAUCACUUCAACAAAAAAAAUGCAAUUCGGUGACGUUGAAUUAACGUGGAAAACUGAUUGGAUUUGCAAAAAGUCAUCAACGUAAAGGAAUUUCGUAGUUUUUUCAACCAACUUUGAACCUAAAUCCAAUGACAUGGUGACAUCAAAAAGGAUCAUAGCUUUCACCUGGGUUCACCUGGUCCGUCUAUUUCACGGAAAGAACAGGUGUUCCUAAUGUUUUGUACACUCGGUGUACAAUGGACCAUAUAACUUAAAGAUGAAGAAGGAUGCAAGGAACAAGAAGAGAUACAGGAGGUCUUCAUUAGUUAUAGUGGUGGAACAGUUUUAAAGCUGGGCUAGAAGGCAAGCCUCCCCUCUCACUGCCCUUACGACAGAGACUGCGUCACACUGUGUACCUCUCAUUCAAGUCACCAAAAAAUUGAUUAAAACACACUGUUUUGCAAUGAAGGUCUACAGCAGAAAUAAUCAAAGCGACAGAUGUCAAUAGAAAUGAAGCCAAGCCCAUGAAAAAAAUAUUGUCCUCCCUCAUCUUAAACGUCACCGACCGCUACUGAUACACACACACACACUCUACAUGAGAGAGCGGUGGAGGGCAUAAAGGAGAUUAGAGAAAGACAGAGUGGGGGGAGAGAGAGGUGGAGGUAGAGGGGGAUAUACAGAAAGAGUAGGUGGAGAGGUCGAGACAAGCGAGAAGAGCAGGGAGAGGAAAAGUCUGAAUAACACACAGUAGAACGAGUGAAUGUGACAAAGGUAGGCGGAGGAGAGAAAGAGUGUGGCGGAGAGGAGGGGGGAUUGGGAUGAACAGAGGAGGAGAAGAUAAGAAAGUUAAGAACACAUACUGUAUGUUUGAAAACUGAAUAGACGAGAGAAGCAGAGAACAAGAAAGAAAAACAACAUAUGGACAUUGUAAAAAAGAGGAAAAUAAGUUUACAUUAUAAUUUACAUUAUGAUGCUCACUGAUUGGAAAGGUAAGAGAGAUAAUAUAAUUCAAAUAUCUGUCAAAUGACUUUGCAUUUACCCAGGUAUUAUGCUUUUUGGUGAUAGGGUAAGUGUGCAUAGGUAACAAGAUAAAUGUCUGUCUGACACUGUGAAUAAAAUACCAAUAGUCUCCUGCAGUCUUCUGAGUCACACCUCUAGGCCCCUUCUUCUCUCCCCUAAUAAAAAGCAUCCAUG
rnacentral:lncRNA from 1 species